GGGUUAGUAGUUUAAUUAGAAUAAAUUAUUGCAAAUAAUUAGGUGGGUUCUCCCUAGCCUU
rnacentral:tRNA from 1 species